ACUGUGAAUUUCACUUUAAUUAUUCCAUAAAAAUUUGUAUAAAUUGGAAAAAUAUAUUCUUGAAUUUUGAAUUCGUUGGAGGGGAGAGGAAUUGAGAGAGGAUUAUCCAGGAAAUUUGAGAUGGAAGAAGUAAUUGCAGAGAGGAAAGUUGGGAAAAAAAUAUGUUGAACAUGUCGGAAAGUUUUUCUGUGCGAAUCGUUGCAGUAAAAAACAGGCAAACAUUUCAAAAAAUUUCUAUCCAACUUUUCCAUUGACCUCUUGUAUUCACAAAAAUAUUGCAGACUUCGCAUUGAAAAUUAAAUCAACACAGCCGCUCAAUCAAAAUUUAAUCAACAUUAACGAGAAGUGUUGGAACACUGAUCGAAUCGAUAGCCUCGAAUUGAUGUGGGACACGAGUUCCAUUAUUUGGUUGAGACCGCUGGGAUUGAAUCAGCGGUCGAGUGAUAUGUGUUAUUACCGGUCUAGUUUCAAACAUUUUUUCCCGAGAGAGGGGAGUUUUCGAGGGACGAGAGAGAACAAAACGUUUAUAACCAGCGUAUCCGGCAGUAAUAAACUAUGCACACGAAAUUAAGUUCAUACCUGGUUGUAUAAGAGGUUCGAUUCUGUCGUGGAUGUGUGCAGUGAGUUGUUUGGGUGCCAGAGAGUGGUGACCUCCUCAGAGAUGUCCAAAUUCAUUUCCAACGGUUCACCUUCUGCAGGGACGGAUCAGACGCAUGCAGCGAUGGCGGUCCGGCGGUGAAUGGAUUACUGCUGCACUGCUGGACCGCCAGUCUGGCAGUCAGUCCGCCAGUCCCUGCAGAGGUGAGUUUUCCCCGAAAAAUUACAAUCCUAAAAAUUAAUGCCAUCAAUUAAACCAUUGGCCUCAAGCCGAAUUCCCCUCAUCCAAAUAACCCCGAGUAUGAUCUUCCGCUGGAACUAUACGUACUGACCUCGAGUCUGGUCCGCCUCGACGCGAAUCACCUGCACAGUUUCAUCACUAUAAAAUUAUCGUGAAAUCCGGAUAAUUUGGUGCUGAUGUUCUGCUCGAGAAUUGCGAGCCCGAGUCAUGAAUUUUACUUAACGCAACAAUGCCCGUAAACGUCGACAUUCGAUGGAAUUUAGAUUAAUUCUCCAUGUUUAUGAACAAAUGUAACUAUUAUUUAUUCCGCACAUGAAGCUUUUGAGGCUUUACAAUUCCGUGAAAUUAUAGGACUGCAGAGUUACUGCGACUUGCACUCAGAUAUUCAAAUUGAAGUGAAAAUUUAUGGUAAUGAAGUUGUUGUAUUUGUUUCUAUCUAAAGUUCAUUGCUGUAACAACAGGAAUGAUGGGCGAAUUAUUUGUUCAAGGAAUGCCCCUAGAAAACAGGUUUCUGUUACGAUUGUCCCCGCAUUUUUUCCCCAUUAAUUUUUCAAUAAAAAUCAUUAAGAAAUCAAUAGAAUUUCCGGGUUAAUUCGGAUGGAAUGCAACGAAAUUUCUGUAGAAAAUGAU